ensembl:misc_RNA Metazoa_SRP Metazoan signal recognition particle RNA
GCCAGGCACGGUGGCACAUGCCUGUAGUCCCAGCUACUCAGGAGGCCGAGGCAGGAGGAUCACGUGAGCCCAGGAGUUCUGGGCUGUAGUGCGCUAUGCCGAUCGGGUGUCCGCACUAAGUUCGACAUCAAUAUGGUUACCUCCCUGGAGCAGGGAACCACCCCGUUGCCUAAGGAGGGGUGGUGAACUGGCCCAGGUCGGAAACGGAGCAGGUCAAAACUCCCUUGCUGAUCAGUUGUGGGGCUGCACCUGUGAAUAGCUACUGCACUCCAGCCUGGGCAACAUAGCAAGACUCUGUCUCUA